rnacentral:rRNA from 1 species
AGCAGAAUCCGUGCUAGAAACGAUGAUGUUGGUGUCGCACAUUAGACUUGUGUUUAAAUAGAGCUUUGCUCGUGAACCAAAUAUGGUGGGCUGGGUUGUCUUUGUGGAAACGCUUAGGCGACUUGUCUACGAAUUGUAAUCAUAAUAUGGGCGGCGGUGAAUCCUUUGCAGACGACUUGAAUGGGAACGGGGUACUGUAAGUGGUAGAGUAGCCUUGUUGCUACGAUCCACUGAGGUUAAGCCCUUGUUCUAAAGAUUUGUUC